ensembl:lncRNA
UUCAAAGGUCAAGGAAUUGGACUUCACCUCUUGAUAGGAGCAGUCUCGAGGAGCUUACAGACUUGUUUUAAAGUCAUCACAUGCAGCAUUUCUGCAAACUUUGUGGCUCACACCGGAGAAUGGCUGCUCCCCAGUUCAGUCCCCACAGUGGGCUCAUUGUCUGAAAAGUCCUGGUUGCACACAGAUCUGCAGCGCGCUGACUUGUUCUCAGAGGUCUCCAAGUUGCUUCACUGCCUUUUACGACAAACAGCUCUAUGAUGCCAUCUAUCUCCAGGAUUUUGUCACUGUCUUCAAAACUUCCUGAUUGUUCUGAAAGUGCUUUGUGAGACCUGCCAUAAGUCCCCUACAAGCAGCUCUGAAAGGAAACAAUUGUCACAGGAGGAGAUCGAACUCGGGACCUUCCACUUGCGAGGCAGAUGGCAGCACCACUGAGCUAAAUCCCCGGCCCCCUAUAAACCAUAACAUCAGGGAGAAGGCCUUUGAGUCUGAGUUCACAGGGGUCUUCAACAGACAGCUUCUGUCUCAGGGGAUGGGAGCACCAUCUCCCUCUGCCUGGGUGGCUCCUGGACAUGUGACCCCUGUGGAUGAAGGCUCUGAGAAGCUUCAGCCAAGAA